rnacentral:lncRNA from 1 species
AUGAGGGCGAAGUGUGAGGCCGAGCACAUCUCCCCCGACAGGUCGGUGUUGGGGCUGUCCAGCCAGUCCUCGUCCGGCCCCAGCGCCUCCUGCGUCAGGAUGCUGAUGUCGUCCUCGAACAUGGAGUCCAUGGCGCCGCGCGAGUCCUGCCUGGGGGGACGCGAGCACCCCGGGGUGAGACGGGGACAGAAGCGGCCACAGCAGCUCUGGAGCCCUCGGAGCUGUGGGGCCACCGGGCAGGCCGGAGGGGACACAGGGCACACGUCACCUCUCCAACCCACAGAAAGGGGGGAGCAGCAGGGGAGCAGCCCCCCAAGAUGCUGGGGAGGAGCAGGGGACGGCAGAGAGCAUCCCGGCGGAGCAGCCCCAGGGGGACGCGGUGACUUUCCCAACGUCCCCCAGGGAGCGAGUGCCAGAAAUAGCGGCCGGUGCCGCCGACUCCCACCCCGCAACGCACGCGAGCUGCUUUCCGCCCUCCCACGCGGCACGGAGCCCGCGCGGUGCCCUAUAUACCGGCACUGCCGCUCACCCCCAGGAGCUACCUGGCUCAGCACAGCCCCAGCGAGGCCUCAUCCUGCCCGGCGUGCUCACAGCCCCGGCACGGCAGGGUUUGUCCCCAGAACGAUGGUCACAAAGCCACCUGUGAGCAGGGUGCUGGGGCCAAAGAGGCUCCCGCAAGGCUCUGCUGCCCGAUGCCCCCCUGCACUCACCAGGGGCCAGGCUGCUGGCAGUGCUGUCCCCACCGAGCUGGUCGCUAUUUCGAGGCACACAAUUAACGGGAGCCCUGUGUGCGGCGCAGCAGCCACCCAGCCCGCGGGGAGCGAGGAGAUCACACCCGGAGCCGGCCAGGGGGCAGCGGGGGCAGCUCGCCCCAUCCCACCCGCGGGCAGCGGCGCAGCCUCAUCCGGGAGCCGCGGCCACACAAAUAAUUCAUGGCAGCAGGCAGGGAAGGAGGCGAGCUCCGCGGGGGGGCAGGCGGGGACAGCUGGGCCCCCCCCCAGCCACGGCCAGAGCCUGGGGCCAGCNNNNNNNNNNGUGAGCAGGGUGCUGGGGCCAAAGAGGCUCCCGCAAGGCUCUGCUGCCCGAUGCCCCCCUGCACUCAGCGGGGACCAGGCUGCUGGCAGUGCUGUCCCCGCCGAGCUGGUCGUUAUUUCGAGGCACGCAAUUAACGGGAGCCCUGCGUGCGGCCCAGCCCACGGGGAGCGAGGAGAUCAUGCCCGGAGCCGGCCAGGGGGCAGCGGGGGCAGCUCGCCCCAUCCCACCCGCGGGCAGCGGCGCAGCCUCAUCCGGGAGCCGCGGCCACACAAAUAA